AAUCUCUUUGGGACACCUCUUCAGCGCUGUCUUCCCUGCCUCUGCCUUUAGGACGAGUCUCAAACACCAACAAACGCAAGGCACGUCCCCCCUCUCAGGUCAGCUGCGAAGGCAUGGGAGCAAGAGAGAGCCUCUCCCUCCUUCUACUUAGAGUUUUUGUUUGUUUGUUUGUUUGUUUCAAAUAUUAAUGGAAGAUAAAACAACACGGAUUUGUCACCUCCUAGCGAAGGGGAAGCCACCGCCACCACACCCCUCAAGCAUGCCCGGGCACUCCUGGGGACAAUCGGACGUGGCAGGAGUUGGCAUGCCCAAGAUGAAGCUGGGAAGGAUGACCCAGAGUGGAAGGCGUGGGCUGGGGCUCCAGGUCUCAGCUCUCGCCAGCGUCGGACCACACAGCUUUGCCAGCUUUGCACCUUGCCUUUCCUUCUUGUGAGGCAUCUGGGACCGUCCUAUCAAGGCGCUUCAAAGGUGGAAGGACAGAGUGCUGGGGACAAGAACGUACCAGGCGCCCAGAAGAUUCCACUAGCGCGGCCAAACACUAAGACCAGGUUUCCUCCCUGCGUGGUGGUCGUUGGUUGUGCACGGGCUGCGCAGGAAGACUGAAUUCCUGAGAAAUGGAAACUGCAUGAGAAAAAUCAAAUAAACUUAGAGGCCUGUGAAGCUCUCCCUCUUGUCGCUCUGGGACCGCUCUAAGCUGAGCUACAUCUCAGAUACCUUCUCCCCCUGGAGGAUGGGCCUUUCUCAGGCACGAAUUGGUGUUUCGCUCUUAUUGCCCAGGCUGGAGUGCAAUGACGUGAUCUUGGCUCACCACAGCCUCUGCAUCCAGGAUUCAAGCUAUUCCCCUGCCUCAGCCUCCCAAAAUGCUGGGAUUAUAGGCGUGAGCCACCACUCCUGGCCAGCACUCCCAAUUUUUAAAAAUGCAUGAUUGACAAAAAUCUUAGAAAGCCGUUUUCUGUAGAUUUGAAAGCAAUGCUAUUUACAUUGUUACUACUUUCUUGUUAAAUCUUGCAUGUCUGCAGUAUGUGUUGUAAUAGAAACCUAAGAUUAUGAUCUGCUGUAUUCAUAUUUUAAAAAGAAAAUUUCAGACUGUAUAAUCAACUAGUUGAUGAUUCAUAUUUGCUUGUACAAAGUUAAAAGUGUAACUUGCCAGAAAAGAAGGAAGCCUGAAAAGUAUUCUAAAUACAUUAAUAAGAAGGGUUCUACAUGAAUUAAUUUUUGUUUUGCCAUCUACAGAGUUCCUGCCACAUUCUAGGCACUUCAUAUUUGCUGCAACAUUUAUUCAGACAUUGACAGAACAAGAGAAAAGAAGUUAAAUUUUAAGUACCAUGGAUUGAAAUUAAACUUAGGGAAGAUAUUUUAUCGUAUGAAUUGUUCAUCUGUAUUUAACAAGGUAUUCAUUUAUUUUGGGUGAUUUAAGGAAGGUCCUUUCUGGAAACAGGAUUACAAACAUACGGACCUAUUUAGUCAAUUUCAACCUUGUGAUUUUGAAUCUGACAGGUUCUCAGCUGCUUUUAUUAAAUAACGGAUUUUCUUAAUAAUUACUGUACUCAAACUUAGCAAAAAGCUCUAUUUAUAGCCCAGUUUUUUAGUCACACACUAUUGUGUCUUGUCAAAUUGAAACCAUAUACUACAUUCUUUACUUAUUAAGAUGGUCUUUUUUUGUAAUAAUUUUGGAGUAGAUAGUUUACUUAUCUAAACCUCUGAUUUCUCAUUUAAUAGAUUUUUGAAGCAUUUAUUUUCCUUACCAUACAUAAAAAUUGUCAGUUGAGGACAAGGAAGGAUUAACCUGGACUACGGUGAAUAAUUGUUCAGGUUGCUUACUGUGUAACUCCAGAGGAGCAUUCACAUGGUACAAUUUGCAGAUUUAAGUAUUUAUUACAACCAUUUUCUGGCAGAUAACAGUGGAACACCCUGUUCUGUUAAAAUUAGUUUAUUAUGACAAAUUGCCUACAGAUGGACAUAAAGUGUCUUGAGGAAGGGCACCUGCUUUGGACUGAAUCGUGUCCCCCCAAAAUCAAAUGUUGAAGCCUAAUCUCUAAUAUGAUGGUAUUUGGAGAUGGGGCCUUUGGGAGAUAACUAGGUUUAGAUGAGGUCAAGAGCGUGGGGCCUUCCUGAUUAGUACCCUGAAAAGAGAAUACACCAGAGAGCUUGCCCUCUCUCCCUCUUACCCCACAGGCACACAAAGAGGUCAUGUGAGUACACAGUCAGAUAACAACCACCUGUGAGAAAACAGAAGAGGCUUCAGAGUGAAAUCUACUUUGCUGGUACUGUAAUCUUGGACAUUAUUCUCAAGAACUGUGAGAUAAUAAAUUUAUCUUAUUUAAGCCACCCAGUCUAUGGUAUUUUGUUAUGGCACCCUGAACUAAGACAAAUUUUGGUACCAAGAAAUGGGGGUGCUACUGUAACUAAUACCUAAACAUGGGGAAAUGGCUUUGGAAUUGGAUAGUGAGUAGAGGCUCAAGAAUUUUCAGGUGCAUCCUAAACAUAUGAACAAACAGUAAAGGUGAUUCUGGUGAGACCUCAGAUGGAAUUGAGGAAUAUGUUAUUGGAAACUGGAAGGACGGUGAUUCUUGUUACAAAGUGGCAAAAAACUUAGGUGAACUGUAUUCUAGUGUUUUGGGGAAGGUAGAACUUGUGAGUGAUGAAAUUAAAUAUUUGACAUUUCUAAGCAAUAUGAUGAGGGAGCAGCUGGUUUCCUCCUGACCAUUUCUGCUGAAAUGAAAAAAGAAAAAAGAUAAGUUGAAGAAGAAAUUGUUCAGCAAAAAGGAACCAGAACUUGAAGAUUUGGGAAAUUCUCAGCUUAUCCACAUUAUUAAAAAAUGACAAAAACUUGCUCUGAAAAUAACACUAGGAGUGUGACUGGACAACCAUUUGAUAAGAGUUUAUGAGAUUAUGUGAGCAGAAAUUCUGCCAGUUUGAACUGAAGGGGAUGAAGAUGGGACAAAAAGAAUGAAGGCUUCGAGACUUCUUGGGUUAGACAUGAUGGGCUGAUUUGCUUAUUUGGCUGUGAACCUGCACUAUUUUUCAAGGAGAGGAAAAAAUGGCCCCAAAGGCAAUUCAGAGAUAGCCAGAGCCACAGCCUCAGUUUCAACAGGCUGGACAGUCUCCACUCAGCUCUUUGGAGGCAGAACCACUCAGAGGACUCAAGCCUGUCAGAGCUAGGGGGUGGGGCUGGCAAUCCCACAGGGUGGAAAGGAUGGGGCUAUCCUGCAAAUCCAUGUGGGUGAUGUUUUGGGUGGAAUGCUCUGGACUGAACUGUCCUCCCAUCCCCUGCUCAGAUUCUGUGUUGAAGCCCUUACCUCCAGUGUUACGGUAUUUGGACAUGGGGCCUUUGUAAGAUAAUUGGGUUUAGAUGAGAUCAUGAGAGUGAGGCCCUCAGGAUUAGUGCCCUUAUAAGAAACCUCAGAAAGCUUGCGAGUUCUCUCUCUCUCUCUUUCUUUUUCUUUCUCUCUCUCUCUCCCCGUGUGUGUGUGUGUGUGUGCGCGUGUGUGUGUGUGCGCGCGCGCGCGCAUCAUGUGGAAACACAGCACAAAGGCAGCCUCUGCAAGCCAGGAAGAGGGCUCACGAGAACUCAAUCAAGCUGGCACCCC
rnacentral:lncRNA from 1 species